CAUCACCACUUCCUGGAGGUCUCCAUGAGGUCCCAUCACCACCUCCUGGAGGUCCCUAUGGGGUCCCACCACCUCCUGGAGGUCCCCAUGAGGUCCCAUCACCUCCUGGAGGUCCCUAUGAGGUUCUAUCACCUCCUGGAGGUUCCUAUGAGGUCCCAUCACCACUUCCUGGAGGUCCCUAUGAGGUCCCACCACCUCCUGGAGGUCCCUAUGGGCUCCCAUCACCUCCUGGAAGUCCCUAUGAGGUCCCAUCACCACCUCCUGGAGGUCCCUAUGAGGUCCCAUCACCACCUCCUGGAGGUCCCCAUGAGGUCCCACCACCUCCUGGAGGUCCCUAUGGGGUCCCACCACCUCCUGGAGGUUCCUAUGAGGUCCCACCACCUCAAGGAGGUUCCUAUGAGGUCCCAUCACCACCUCCUGGAGGUCCCCAUGAGGUCCCAUCACCUCCUGGAGGUCUCUAUGAGGUCCCAUCACCACCUUAUGGAGGUCCCCAAGAGGUCCCACCACCUCCUGGAGGUCUCUAUGGGCUCCCACCACCUCCUGAAGGUCCCAUCACCACCUCCUGGAGGUUCCUAUGGGCUCCCAUCACCUCCUCGAGGUCCCAUCACCACCUCCUGGAGGUCCCAAUGAGGUCCCACCACCUCCUGGAGGUCCCUAUGAGGUUCUAUCACCUCCUGGAGGUUCCUAUGAAGUCCCAUCACCACCUCCUGGAGGUCCCUAUGGGGUCCCACCACCUCCUGGAGGUCCCUAUGGGCUCCCAUCACCACCUCCUGGAGGUCCCCAUGAGGUCCCACCACCUCCUGGAGGUCCCUAUGGGGUCCCACCACCUCCUGGAGGUCCCCGUAAGGUUCCACCAUCUCCUGGAGGUCCCAUCACCACCUCCUGGAGGUCCCUAUGGGGUCCCACUACCUCUUCGAGGUCCCUAUGAGGUCCCAUCACCACCUCCUCGACGUCUCUAUGGGGUCCCAUCACCUCUUUGAGCUCCCCAUGAGGUUCUAUCACCUCUUGGAGGUCCCUAUGGGGACCCAUCACCACCUCCUGGAGGUCCCAAUGAGGUCCCACCACCUCCUGGAGGUCCCUAUGAGGUCCCACCACCACCUCCUGGAGGUCCCCAUGAGGUCCCACCACCUCCUGGAGGUCCCACCACCACUUCCUUGACUUCUCUAUGGGGUCUCACCACUUCCUGGAGGUCCCUAUGGGCUCCCACCACCUCCUCGAGGUCCCUAUGAGGUUCCAUCACCACCUCCUGGAGGUCCCUAUGAGGUCCCACCACCUCCUGGAAGUCCCACCACUACCUCCUUGACGUCUCUAUGGGGUCCCACCACCUCCUCGAGGUCCCUAUGGGGUCCCACUACCUCUUCGAGGUCCCUAUGAGGUCCCAUCACCACCUCCUGGAGGUCCCAAUGAGGUCCCACCACCUCCUGGAGGUCCCUAUGGGGUCCCACCACCUCCUUGAGGUCUCUAUGGGGUCCCACUACCUCUUCAAGGUCCCUAUGAGGUCCCAGCACCACCUCCUGGAGGUCCCUAUGGGCUCCCAUCACCUUCUGGAGGUCCCUAUGGGCUCCCACCACCACCUUGAGCUCCCUAUGAGGUCCCAAGACCUCCUGGAAGUCCCACCACCACCUCCUCGAGGUCCCUAUGGGCUCCCAUCACUCCCUGGAGGUCCCCAGGAGGUUCCAUCUCCCCCUGGAGGUCCUCAUGAGGUCCCACCACCACCUCCUGGAGCUCCCCAUGAGGUUCCACCAUCUCCUCAAUGUCCCCAUGAGGACCCAUCACCACCUCCUCGAGGUCCCCAUGAGGUCCCACCACCUCCUGAAGGUCCCAUCACCACCUCCUGAAGGUCCCUAUGGGCUCCCAUCACCUCCUGGAGGUCCCAAUGAGGUCCCAUCACCACCUCCUGGAGGUCCCUAUGGGGUCCCACUACCUCUUCGAGGUCCCUAUGAGGUCCCAUCACCACCUCCUGAAGGUCCCAAUGAGGUCCCACCACCUCCUGGAGGUCCCUAUGGGGUCCCACCACCUCCUGGAGGUCCCUAUGGGGUUCUAUCACCUCCUGGAGGUCCCCAUGAGGUCCCACCACCUCCUGAAGGUCCCAUCACCACCUCCUGAAGGUCCCCAUGAGGUCCCACCACCUCCUGGAGGUCCCACCACCACCUCCUUGACUUCUCUAUGGGGUCCCACCACCUCCUGGAGGUCCCUAUGGGCUCCCACCACCUCCUCGAGGUCCCUAUGAGGUCCCAUCACCACCUUAUGGAGGUCCCCAUGAGGUCCCACCACCUCCUGGAAGUCCCACCACCACCUCCUGGAGGUCUCUAUGGGGUCCCACCACCUCCUCGAGGUCCCUAUGGGGUUCUAUCACCUCUUCGAGGUCCCUAUGGGGUCCCAUCUCCCCCUGGAGGUCCCGAGGAGGUCCCACCACCACCUCCUGGAGGUCCCUAUGAGGUCCCACCACCUCCUGGAAGUCCCACCACCACCUCCUCGAUGUCUUUAUGGGGUCCCACCACCUCCUCGAGGUCCCUAUGAGGUUCUAUCACCUCUUCGAGGUCCCAUCACCACCUCCUCGAGGUCCCUAUGAGGUUCUAUCACCUCUUCGAGGUCCCAUCACCACCUCCUCGAGGUCCCUAUGGGGUUCUAUCACCUCUUGGAGGUCCCUAUGAGGUCCCAUCUCCCCCUGGAGGUCCCGAGGAGGUCCCACCACCACCUCCUGGAGGUCCCUAUGAGGUCCCACCACCUCCGGGAAGUCCCACCACCACCUCCUGGACGUCUUUAUGAGGUCCCACCACCUCCUCGAGGUCCCUAUGAGGUUCUAUCACCUCUUCGAGGUCCCAUCACCACCUUCUGGAGGUCCCUAUGAGGUCCCACCACCUCCUAGAAGUCCCACCACUACCUCCUUGACGUCUUUACGGGGUCCCACCACCUCCUCGAGGUCCCUAUGGGGUUCUAUCACCUCUUCGAGGUCCCAUCACCACCUCCUCGAGGUCCCUAUGGGGUUCUAUCACCUCUUCGAGGUCCCAUCACCACCUCCUCGAGGUCCCUAUGGGGUUCUAUCACCUCUUGGAGGUCCCUAUGGGGUCCCACCUCCCCCUGGAGGUCCCGAGGAGGUCCCACCACCACCUCCUUGAGCUCCCCAUGAGGUCCCACCACCUCCUGGAAGUCCCACCACCACCUCCUCGACAUCUUUAUGGGGUCCCACCACCUCCUCGGGGUCCCUAUGAGGUUCUAUCACCUCUUCGAGGUCCCAUCACCACCUCCUCGAGGUCCCUAUGAGGUUCUAUCACCUCCUCGAGGUCCCAUCACCACCUCCUCGAGGUCCCUAUGGGGUUCUAUCACCUCCUGGAGGUCCCUAUGAGGUCCCAUCUCCCCCUGGAGGUCCCGAGGAGGUCCCACCACCACCUCCUGGAGGUCCCUAUGGGCUCCCACCACCUCCUGGAGGUCCCUAUGAGGUCCCAUCACCACCACCUUGAGCUCCCCAUGAGGUCCCACCACCUCCUGGAAGUCCCACCACCACCUCCUCGACAUCUUUAUGGGGUCCCACCACCUCCUCGGGGUCCCUAUGAGGUUCUAUCACCUCUUCGAGGUCCCAUCACCACCUCCUCGAGGUCCCUAUGAGGUUCUAUCACCUCUUUGAGGUCCCCAUGAGGUCCCAUCACCACCACCUUGAGCUCCCCAUGAGGUCCCACCACCUCCUGGAAGUCCCACCACCACCUCCUCGACGUCUUUAUGGGGUCCCACCACCUCCUCGAGGUCCCUAUGAGGUUCUAUCACCUCUUCGAGGUCCCAUCACCACCUCCUCGAGGUCCCUAUGGGGUUCUAUCACCUCUUCGAGGCCCCAUCACCACCUCCUCGAGAUCCCUAUGGGGUUCUAUCACCUCUUC